ACGUUGGUUCCCUCGCAUCAUGAAGUUAUAAACCCUGUCAGGUCCGGAAGGAAGCAGCAGUAGUAAUCUAGUGAGUGCCGUGGUGUAGCUGGCGUGGUU
rnacentral:SRP_RNA from 1 species